GGGAAGUUUCCAUAUGCUGAGGAGUUUCUGAAAGGACUUGAAGCCAACUGCUCUCUUCUGGACAGUGCUUGUUCCUUGACGAUUGGAUAGGUCUCAAGUGGCCCAUAAAAAUUUUACUACAUUUUGUCCACCCGUGGAUACUGUGACCUAAGGUGACCCAAUCAGAAAUCUGCUUUGGCAAUGUUUUCAGAGAGGACUGGAACGACCUGGGUCGCAGCCGAAUUGACAGUGUUUGCUUUAAUCAGGGAUGAUGGCUUCUGGUGGGAGUCGGAGGCAGGUGGUGCAGGGAGCCGUGAACUUUGUCACAGAGCAGUGACUUCUGUAAAAUUCACAGCAGUUCCUUCCAAUUCUGUCUGGAUGAGCAGGAGGGACUACAAAUGUGUCCAAUGGGCUGCAAGUAAUGAUGGGAAUGGAGUCUUAUUUCAACCCUGAACUCAUGGGAGGGAAGCCCAUAUGGGUGGAAUGUGGAUUGUUUGAGUUGUUCCUUUUAUUUUAAUAACACAGAUUAAAAAAAUGGAAAUAAAUGAAAAAAUACAGCCUGUUUUCUGUUGAUUUAACAGAAGUUCAGAGACGAGGUAAUUUGUUUAAAAAAUAAAACAUAACAGAUUUCUUUUGGCUCACGUUUCCGGAGGAUGGGAGGAUGAAGAUCAAGGGGUGGCCAUAUCUGAAGGCUUCAUGCUGCUCCAGGGAUGGGGGAAGAAGGAGGGCAAGAGGGCACCUGCGAAAGAGAGAAAGGGGCCAAGCUCCCGCUGUGACUAACUCAUUCCUGUGGGAAAAGCAUUGAUCCAUUCGUGAGGGCUCCAGCCCCAUGACCAGACGCCUCCCACCAGCCCACUCCUCCCAGCUCUGCUGCCUCCAGGACUUAACCCUCAAGGUGAGUUUUAGUGUGAACAAACCAUGUUCACACCAUAGCCCAGGACCCUAUUUUCCAGCCACUUACAAUUAAUCUAUUGGAGAAUGCGUCUUCUCAACUGUCAUUGAAACUACUGUGGUUAUAUAAGGUGUCCUCAAGGAACAGAGGGUCCAUGGAAAAAUGCCUAGCUUCCAAAAUGAUGGUUAACUCUGAAGUCUCCAAAAUCCUUGAAAUUUCUCUUGAUGUUUCUAAAUAUGAUAUGGUAUUGAGUUCCCCUGAAUUAUUCUACUCUUGAUUCAAUCCUGGGAUGCCUCUGAGCCAGUAUUUUAUGGUCCUUUUUUUUUUUUUAAAUGACUGCUCUGCUAUUAUUUAAUCAACCACUUUAAAGACCAUACUUCUUAACACUUUGUCCAUUUCAUGAUAAUCUGUCAGAUGAGGCUCAGGAGUCACAGUCACAUUGUCCAGACAGUGGCUGGCAAUAGUAACACCAUCUUUUUAAAAAUUUAUUUAUUUAUAUAUGACAGUGGAAUGCAUUACAAUUCUUAUUACACAUAUAGAGCACAAUUUUUCAUAUCUCUGGUUGUAUAAGUAACACCAUCUUGAUGAAUUCUGCCUGAUUUUAGGCGGAUCUACAUGACCUUGAUAGAAAUGGAAGUAAAUUAAAAAUUUUGUGAUUUUGAUGAUACUAUAUUAGGUCUAUUUCAAAGUGCUAAAAGCACCUAGCAGAUGUGAUAGUAUUUGAAGUAACAAGGAAAUCUCUUCCAUGCACCCCCACCAUGCAGGGAACCCUGUGAAUUCUGACUGAUAUUGAUUCUACAGAGAGCAAGUCCACAAAACAGCUCUGACUGCUCGGUGGUGACUCUGCUUGUUUCUGAUUCCACCAGUUUGCAGAGCAGUGUCUUUAGCAGUCUGGCUCGGUCGUCUAAGAUCUGGCUUUAUUCAAGUUCCUCUAUCCUAUGAGCAAAGUUAGACUGGUGACUGAAUCAAAAUUCACAAAAGUCAAAGACAAAACAGCCACCAGAAAUUACUAAUGUGAAGCUUUGAUUUGGUCUGUCUUCUUGGCAUUUGAGUGAGUGACCCUGGGAACAGUUGUUCCUACCAUUGUGAAAUUCUGACCCUCCCUUUCAAUUGUUUGAUUUGAUGACAUUUCUUCUAUUUCUAAAAGUGCAUAUAUAUAUGCUGAGAGCCACGGCCGAGUCUGUAUGGCCCCUGGCAUUUUGCCAACAGUAUUGGGGCCAUACAGACUCGGCCGUUGCUCUCAGUAUAUAUAUAUAUAUAUAAUAUAUAUAUAUCUCAUAAGUGCACAUGUGUGUGUUUCAGUUUAAGAAAUAUUGAUUUCAUUUUCUUUUGAAAAUAUCUUAUUGGUUUUUCUAGAUCACUUAAACAAUUUGGAGAUACUAUGGGUUUUAGAAAGCCAGUGUUGGAGAGCAGCCAUUCCAGAUGAAUCAGCUGCAAACCCAUCCCGGAGUGUGGGGAACAACAGGAGACACUCAAGGACAUUUGCUUGGCUGCAGUGAGUGAGAAGCUGAGAUUCAGAGGAUGAGGCUGUGCAGCAUGUGGAAUCCCACCUUGAUAUUUUAAUGGUCCUGCUGUGAGCCUUAGCAGACAUCUUCCUGGCCACCCAAAAGAGGUUGUUUGUGGUCCCAUCUUGGAGAAUAUCUUCCCCUGUUGGAACUCUGGACUUCCAGUGGGCGUAUGACUGCCUGGAAUUAAGACUGCAUUUCCUUGCUUAAAGGACCAAUUGGUCAGGACAUAAACAAGAGGAAUGAAACACUCUGUCUUAGUCCACUUUCUGUUGCUCAUGAGACAUUAUCAUAGAAUGGGUACAUUAUAAGAGAAGAAGUUUAUUUUAACUCAUGAUUCUAAGGUGGAGGGGCCACAUCUGGUAAUGGCCUUGGUGGCAGAGUCCCAAGACAGCUCAGGGUUUACAUGGUGACAGACAGGAAGCAUGGGAGAAACCUAGCCAAACUGGCUUUUAUAGCAGACCUACUCUGGAGAUAACCCCUUAACACAGUAGUCACAUGGAUGGAUUAAUGUAUUCAGAGCUCGAGUGACCUCUUCAAUGUGCCAGCUCUUAGCAUCUCAUAGUAAGGAUUAAAUUUCCACAUGAGUUUUGGAGAGGACACACCAUACUGAAAUCAUAGCCCCAUCCUUUGACUCCCCAUCGUCUCCUCUCACUUCCUCAACCUGCUCUUUGGAAUGUGGAUGUGAUCAUUGGUGUUCCAUUUUGGCCAUAAGGAUGAGAGCCAUGCCCUAGAAAUGGAAGAGUAGAAAACCAGGAAGCAACCUGGACCCUAGGUGAUAUUGGAGAAGCCAGAUCAAUACAAGGAUGUCUGGAUCCAUAGUUUCACAUGACAGAAAU
rnacentral:lncRNA from 1 species